AUUGAACGCUGGCGGCAUGCCUUACACAUGCAAGUCGAACGGUAACGCGGGGCAACCUGGCGACGAGUGGCGAACGGGUGAGUAAUGUAUCGGAACGUGCCCAGUUGUGGGGGAUAACUGCUCGAAAGAGCAGCUAAUACCGCAUACGACCUGAGGGUGAAAGCGGGGGAUCGCAAGACCUCGCGCAAUUGGAGCGGCCGAUAUCAGAUUAGGUAGUUGGUGGGGUAAAGGCUCACCAAGCCGACGAUCUGUAGCUGGUCUGAGAGGACGACCAGCCGCACUGGAACUGAGACACGGCCCAGACUCCUACGGGAGGCAGCAGUGGGGAAUUUUGGACAAUGGACGCAAGUCUGAUCCAGCCAUGCCGCGUGCGGGAAGAAGGCCUUCGGGUUGUAAACCGCUUUUGUCAGGGAAGAAACGCUCUGGGUUAAUACCUCGGGGUAAUGACGGUACCUGAAGAAUAAGCACCGGCUAACUACGUGCCAGCCGCCGCAGUAAUAC
rnacentral:rRNA from 1 species